UCAAAGAUUAAGCCAUGCAUGUCUAAGUAUAAGCAAUCAUACUGUGAAACUGCGAAUGGCUCAUUAAAUCAGUUAUCGUUUAUUUGAUAGUACCUUUACCUGGAUAACCGUGGUAAUUCUAGAGCUAAUACAUGCUAAAAACCUCGACUUCGGAAGGGGUGUAUUUAUUAGAUAAAAAACCAAUGCCCUUCGGGGCUCCUUGGUGAUUCAUAAUAACUUAACGAAUCGCAUGGCCUUGCGCCGGCGAUGGUUCAUUCAAAUUUCUGCCCUAUCAACUUUCGAUGGUAAGAUAGUGGCUUACCAUGGUCUCAACGGGUAACGGGGAAUUAGGGUUCUAUUCCGGAGAGGGAGCCUGAGAAACGGCUACCACAUCCAAGGAAGGCAGCAGGCGCGCAAAUUACCCAAUCCCAAUUCGGGGAGGUAGUGACAAUAAAUACUGAUACGGGGCUCUUUCGGGUCUCGUAAUUGGAAUGAGUACAAUCUAAAUCCCUUAACGAGGAACAAUUGGAGGGCAAGUCUGGUGCCAGCAGCCAA
rnacentral:rRNA from 1 species